rnacentral:sRNA from 1 species
GGCGCUGGCUGCUGCGGUGCAGAUGGCGGAAAUGGAUCCGGUAGCCGAGUUCCCCCAGCCUCCCGGUGCUGCGCGCUGGGCUGAGGUUAUGGCUCGCUUCGCGGCCAAGCUGGGCGCGCAGGGCCGGCGGGUGGUGUUGGUCACGUCAGGCGGCACCAAGGUCCCACUGGAAGCGCGGCCGGUGCGCUUCCUGGACAACUUCAGCAGCGGGCGGCGCGGUGCAACCUCGGCCGAGGCCUUCCUAGCCGCUGGCUAUGGGGUCCUGUUCUUGUAUCGCGCUCGCUCCGCCUUCCCCUAUGCCCACCGCUUCCCACCCCAGACUUGGCUGUCUGCUCUGCGGCCUUCGGGUCCAGCCCUUUCGGGCUUGCUGAGCCUGGAGGCUGAGGAGAAUGCACUUCCGGGUUUUGCUGAGGCUCUGAGGAGCUACCAGGAGGCUGCGGCUGCAGGCACCUUCCUGGCGGUAGAGUUCACCACUUUGGCGGACUAUUUGCAUCUGUUGCAGGCUGCGGCCCAGGCACUCAAUCCGCUAGGUGCGUGCCCUAAGAGUACCCCUUUUGCCUGGAAGCACAGCCUUUCUCUCCAGAUACUUAUCCCCUUAUCUCCCGCUUACCCACGGAUCUCAGCUGGGGAACGCGAGUUGAGAAGGAGCUGAUCCUAUAUCGUACCUCGCCGAUUUGUUAACACCUUGUGUUUCUCUUUGCAGGCCCUUCUGCGAUGUUUUACCUGGCUGCGGCUGUGUCAGAUUUCUAUGUUCCUGUCUCUGAAAUGCCUGAACACAAGAUCCAGUCAUCUGGGGGCCCACUGCAGAUAACAAUGAAGAUGGUGCCAAAACUGCUUUCUCCUUUGGUUAAAGAUUGGGCCCCCAAAGCAUUUAUAAUUUCCUUUAAGUUGGAGACUGACCCCGCCAUUGUAAUUAAUCGAGCUCGGAAGGCUUUGGAAAUUUAUCAGCAUCAAGUGGUGGUGGCUAAUAUCCUUGAGUCACGACAGUCCUUUGUGUUUAUUGUAACCAAAGACUCAGAAACCAAGUUAUUGCUAUCAGAGGAAGAAAUAGAAAAAGGCAUAGAGAUAGAAGAGAAGAUAGUGGAUAAUCUUCAGUCUCGACACACAGCUUUUAUAGGUGACAAAAACUGAAGUAAAAAGCCCUUAUAGGAUCAGAAAUUGUUCAGGGCUCUUAGAGAUGGUGAAAACUACAAAAAAACCAUGGCUUUCAUAUGGACAGAGAAAAUGAAAGAAAGGGAAAAGGCAGUGGUGUGCAGGCAAAUACGUUUGGCAUUUGUCUUUUAAUGACACCUGAUAAUGCUCACCUGAUGUCAUUUUGAUUUUGAAAUUGAACACUAGAACUGUUAAUCACCUUUAAAAAGAAGAGCUUAUUGGGAAUUAUAUAUUCCUUAAAAUAUACAUGGGGGCCUGAAUAUCAGCCAUCUUUAUACUAUAAAAAGAGGAUUAUGGAUGCAUGAAUGGUCAUGCUUUGGAGAUCAAAUAUUGGUUGAAUGCCUAUGUAUGUCAGGCCCUGUGCUGAGCCAUGAGGAUUAAAAAGAUGAAUAAACAUAUCUUGUUUAGGAGAUGGAUGUAUAAAAAAAUCAAGUGCAAUAAAGUGUGUGUCCAAAAGCCGACACAAUGGAAA